rnacentral:rRNA from 1 species
AACUCUCAACGAUGGAUGCCUCGGCUCGAGAAUCGAUGAAGGACGCAGCGAAGUGCGAUGAGCACUGCGAUUUGCAGAAUUCCGUGAACCAGUAGAAAUCUCAACGCAUACUGCACAAAGGGGAUCUUUCCUCUUUGUACAUACAUAUCAGUGUCGCUC